CACAUACACAAUUCUAGCAUGCUGUCCUUAUCAAGCUUUCCUUUUUAAGCCCCGGCCUUUACCCAAAAACAUCAAACUGGUUUCUUUCUUUCUUUUUUUUUUUUUCCAGUGAAAAGUUUCAUUUUUUCCUUCAGCUGUUAUUUUAAGUUCCGGGUACAUGUGCGGGAUGUAAGGUAAAUGUGUGCCAUGGUCCUUUGCUGCACAGAUCAACCCAUCACCGAGGUAUUAAGCCUAGCAUCCAUUAGCUAUUCUUCCUGAUCCUCUCCCUCCCCCUGCGCCAACAGGCCCCAGUAUGUGUUGUUCCCCUUGAUGUGUCCCUGCGUUUUCAUCAUUCAACUCCCACUUAUAAAUGAGAACAUAUGGUAUUUGAUUUUCUGUUCCUGCAUUAGUUUGCUGAGAAUGACAGCUUCCAGCUCCGUUUAUGUGCCUACAAAAGACAUGGUCUCAUUCCAUUUUAUGGCUGCAGAGUAUUCCACAGGGUAUAUGUACCACAUUUUCUUUAUCCAGUCUAUCAUUGAUGAGUAUUUGGGUUGAUUCCAUGUCUUUGCUAUUGUGAAUAGUGCUGUAGUGAACAUACAUAUGCAUGUAUCUUUACAACAGAGUGAUUUAUAUUUCUUUGGGUAUAUACCCAGCAGAGGAAUUGCUGGGUCAAAGGGGUUUCUUGGACAAAUUGCCACCCUGUCUUCCACAAUGGUUGAACUAAUUUACACUCCCACCAACAAAGUAAAAGUGUUUCUUUUUCUCCACAACCUCGCCAGCAUCGGUUGUUUCUUGACUUUUUAAUGAUUGCCAUUCUGACUGGCAUGAAAUAGUAUCUCAUUGUGGUUUUGAUUUGCAUUUCUCUAAUGGUCAGUGAUGUUGAGCUUUUUUUCAUGUUUGUUGGCCGUAUGAAUGUCUUAUUUUGAGAACUGUCUGUUCAUGUCCUUUGCCCAUUUUAUAAUGGAGUUGUUUGGUUUUUUUUUCUUGCUAAUUUGCUUAUGUUCCUUGUAGACUCUGAAUAUUAGACCUUUGUCAUAUGGAGAGAUUGCAAAAGUGAUUGCUUUCCAAGGGAAUCCAGCCACUUCCCCUUUACUCGUUUUGGUUAAUAAAAACACUUUCUUUCUAGCAGACCUCGCUCUUGUUAAUUGGAUGAUCCAGGUGGGGAGCAUCCAGACCUGCGUUCGCUUCCAGUUGUUUUUCUUCCCUUGGUUUAAGCAAAAUGAUACAAUAUUUAGGCCAAAUGUUUUAGUUCUACUUUGAGAUGUAAAAUCUCUAUCUGAUGUCACCUAAGAUUUGUUCCUUUAGAGUGCGAACUUUGGGCCAUCUGGCUGACAAUUGCUGAGGCAAUAAAACAGGUUAUCAAGAAAUUGGUGGGCUGGGCGUGGUGGCUCACACCUGUAAUCCCAGCACUUUGGGAGGCAGAGGUGGGCAGAUCACAAGGUCAGGAGAUCGAGACCACCCUGGCUAACACGGUGAAAUGCCGUCUCUACUAAAAAUACAAAAAAUUAGCCGGGCGUAGUGACAGGUGCCUGUAGUCCCAGCUACUCAGAGGGUGAGGCAGGAGAAUGGUG
rnacentral:lncRNA from 10 species